AGCAUUAAUCGGAAUUACUGGGCAUAAAGCGUGCGCAGGCGGUUUUGUAAGACAGAUGUGAAAUCCCCGGGCUCAACCUGGGAACUGCAUUUGUGACUGCAUGGCUAGAGUACGGUAGAGGGGAAUGGAAUUCCUCGUGUAGCAGUGAAAUGCGUAGAUAUGCGGAGGAACACCGAUGGCGAAGGCAAUCCCCUGGACCUGUACUGACGCUCAUGCACCAAAGCGUGGGGAGCAAACAGGAUUACAUACCCUGGUAGUCCACGCCCUAAACGAUGUCAACUGGUUGUUGGGA
rnacentral:rRNA from 1 species